rnacentral:rRNA from 1 species
GAUGAACGCUGGCGGCGUGCCUAAUACAUGCAAGUCGAGCGAACGGGCGAGAAGCUUGCUUCUCUGAUGUUAGCGGCGGACGGGUGAGUAACACGUGGAUAACCUACCUAUAAGACUGGGAUAACUUCGGGAAACCGGAGCUAAUACCGGAUGAUAUUUUGAACCGCAUGGUUCAAAAGUGAAAGACGGUCUUGCUGUCACUUAUAGAUGGAUCCGCGCUGCAUUAGCUAGUUGGUAAGGUAACGGCUUACCAAGGCAACGAUGCAUAGACGACCUGAGAGGGUGAUCGGCCACACUGGAACUGAGACACGGUCCAGACUCCUACGGGAGGCAGCAGUAGGGAAUCUUCCGCAAUGGGCGAAAGCCUGACGGAGCAACGCCGCGUGAGUGAUGAAGGUCUUCGGAUCGUAAAACUCUGUUAUUAGGGAAGAACAUAUGUGUAAGUAACUGUGCACAUCUUGACGGUACCUAAUCAGAAAGCCACGGCUAACUACGUG